GACGAACGCUGGCGGCGUGCUUAACACAUGCAAGUCGAACGGAAAGGCCCUGCUUUUGUGGGGUGCUCGAGUGGCGAACGGGUGAGUAACACGUGAGUAACCUGCCCUUGACUUUGGGAUAACUUCAGGAAUCUGGGGCUAAUACCGGAUAGGAGCUCCUGCUGCAUGGUGGGGGUUGGAAAGUUUCGGCGGUUGGGGAUGGACUCGCGGCUUAUCAGCUUGUUGGUGGGGUAGUGGCUUACCAAGGCUUUGACGGGUAGCCGGCCUGAGAGGGUGACCGGCCACAUUGGGACUGAGAUACGGCCCAGACUCCUACGGGAGGCAGCAGUGGGGAAUAUUGCACAAUGGGCGGAAGCCUGAUGCAGCAACGCCGCGUGCGGGAUGACGGCCUUCGGGUUGUAAACCGCUUUCGCCUGUGACGAAGCGUGAGUGACGGUAAUGGGUAAAGAAGCACCGGCUAACUACGUGCCAGCAGCCGCGGUGAUACGUAGGGUGCGAGCGUUGUCCGGAUUUAUUGGGCGUAAAGGGCUCGUAGGUGGUUGAUCGCGUCGGAAGUGUAAUCUUGGGGCUUAACCCUGAGCGUGCUUUCGAUACGGGUUGACUUGAGGAAGGUAGGGGAGAAUGGAAUUCCUGGUGGAGCGGUGGAAUGCGCAGAUAUCAGGAGGAACACCAGUGGCGAAGGCGGUUCUCUGGGCCUUUCCUGACGCUGAGGAGCGAAAGCGUGGGGAGCGAACAGGCUUAGAUACCCUGGUAGUCCACGCUGUAAACGGUGGGUACUAGGUGUGGGGUCCAUUCCACGGGUUCCGUGCCGUAGCUAACGCUUUAAGUACCCCGCCUGGGGAGUACGGCCGCAAGGCUAAAACUCAAAGGAAUUGACGGGGCCCCGCACAAGCGGCGGAGCAUGCGGAUUAAUUCGAUGCAACGCGUAGAACCUUACCUGGGUUUGACAUGGAUCGGGAGUGCUCAGAGAUGGGUGUGCCUCUUUUGGGGUCGGUUCACAGGUGGUGCAUGGCUGUCGUCAGCUCGUGUCGUGAGAUGUUGGGUUAAGUCCCGCAACGAGCGCAACCCUUGUUCACUGUUGCCAGCACGUUAUGGUGGGGACUCAGUGGAGACCGCCGGGGUCAACUCGGAGGAAGGUGGGGAUGACGUCAAGUCAUCAUGCCCCUUAUGUCCAGGGCUUCACGCAUGCUACAAUGGCUGGUACAGAGAGUGGCGAGCCUGUGAGGGUGAGCGAAUCUCGGAAAGCCGGUCUCAGUCCGGAUUGGGGUCUGCAACUCGACCUCAUGAAGUCGGAGUCGCUAGUAAUCGCAGAUCAGCAACGCUGCGGUGAAUACGUUCCCGGGGCU
rnacentral:rRNA from 1 species